CUUGAGAAUAUGACUACAUAAUAUGCUAUAUACCUAAUUUACACUUUAUUAAUUCAAGAUCUGGCCAUUUUAAUCCUACCCUUAAGUCCAUUCUCAAACCAAUCCAAGGCCCAAUUGCAUCCCCCAGCCGAAUUUUGACCAAAGCCACUCCAUUUUCCCCUCCAACCCAUUCCUAAAUCCCAACAAUUAGCUCAGCCCAUAUUUCCCAACCAAUCCCAGCGAUCCGACCCAUCCCUUUUCUCUUCAGAAAAGAGAAAUCCAGAACAUGACAGCAACUUGGACACGUCUUCACAGAGAAAGACGCGUGAAUGACACCACCGAUCCUAUAUGCACCUAACCACCCCUCACGCAAGAAACGACAGCCAAACGAGCCUAAACAGAGAUAGACGGAAAGAGGUACUCUGUGUUUCUUCUGUUUUUUUCCUCGCAGUAUUGUUUCCAGCCGAGAUUUGCAGCAAAAGCAGUUGUUGUAGCAGUGCAAAGUCUUCCUUGGGGCUGUGAGAUCUGUCCUCGUCGCACCCAAGGAAGAGCGAAUUGAUUCGAGUUGUCUAUCUACCUUUCCUCUUCCGAAUGAGUCAAAAGCCUCAGAAAAAGUUGUUCAUCCUAAAAUGGUGAAAGGUCUUUGGGAAUUUGGAAUUUCGAAUUACAUCCCUUUUCAUCCGAUUAUCAUCUGUUUUCCCUCCAUUUUUUGAAACCCUAAUCCCCCUUCUAUAUAUAAUCGUUAUUGGUUCACUGUUAAUGGGGAUGGAUUUUUUUGUGAGAAAAUAAUGAGAGGGAACUACAGAGAAUUGGGAGAAAAAGUAUUGGAAGAAAAGUUGGAAAAGAGAAGUACACUACGAAUCAACUAGUAUUAAAAAGGAAGAAAGUAUUUCGGCCUAGUCUUUUUUUCUUGUUGUUUACUGCUGCUCUUUAGACUUUUAAGAGACAUAUCUUGGUGGUGGAAAUCAUUUCGAGUUCAUUUGUUCCGUUUGCUGUCCCGAAAAAGAGGGCUUAAAAUGCACUACACAGAGGGAGUACUAGGAUUCCAAGCUAGGGUGAUUUAUCAAGCAACACGUGAAGUCCAAAUAAACUAAGUCUAAAUAUUUUUCAAGCCCUUCCCUUUGGAGCGGAAGCCCUGCCGCUGUAGUGGCACCGCUGCAGCAGGAGAUCUCCCGGUAUAGCGGGAGAUCGGGCAAUAGUAAAGGGGGAAAAGGGGACCAAAAUUCCCAUUUCCUUUACACCCUCCUAAAACUCCCAAAAAAUCUCUCAUUCAACCUCCUCCAAUCGUCUGAAUUAAGGUGGCAACCUGCAUCAUCCCACUGUAGAAGAAUGAUGGCAGCUGCAUCGGAAUGGCCCAAACCAGUAGCCUAACUCACUUUUCCCAAAAAUUCUCUUUUCUGUUUAGUCUUCCCUACAUGAUGCUUCUAGCCGAGAGAGGCAUCAUGAUUACAUACCACAUGGUUAUGAUGUGAGAGGGCGUUGGUGUUACAUAUGGUGGAGGAGAUAUCUCCUACUUUCUAUGCUUGUUAGUUCGAGUUUGGGUGGCUUCCGCUGAUUGAGGCUCCCGGUACGCCCGCUCUACCUGGAUGAGGAAGUUUUAUUCUUUACUCUCAUCGUACGCUUUGAUGAUCUUUUACCUGUCAUUCACAUUUAGAGAGUUGACAUUCCCCUGAAUGCCACUACUAUUAAUGAGGUGCUUGAGGUGCCAGAGGUCCCAAACAUGGAGUACAAGGCCAGUCUUUGGGAGAUAGAUUUGUAGUGGUUGCGAGACACUAUUAUGGAUCCUACGAAGCGGGAUCACGUUUACUGGCUACAGGUGAGGCCUCACUAGUGUUGAUUGGUCACCAGAUGGUAAGUGGUGGCUACACUUGGUAUCUAGGAGGAUUCACUCGUCGAGGAACCGCACCAACUUUACUUUUCCUCGGGCUCUGGUGGUAGCGUGCGCUUUAAAGGGCAUUCAGUUGAAUGUGGGGGCGCAAAUUAUCUUCGAGUGAAAGAUGUUCUACUGGGGCAAUAAGAAGACUUUCUUCCUUCCCGGUCUUAUCACUGCCUUAUGCAAGCGGGCAAGGGUGCCCUUGUUCAAUGCCAAUGAGGUACUACCUAUGGAUCCCUCUAUUAACCCUCGUUUGGUUCAAGCAUGUUCUAUUUAUAAGGGCAAGAGGAGGAGGAAGAACAAGGAUAGCAGUAUCAGCGACCACAAUUUUGAUGAUGAGGACCCACUCUCAUGUGCACGGGUUGAAGAUGACUUAGUGGCUGUUCAGGAGGGGAUGGGGAGGUCUUACAAUAACUUCACUCUGGCGCCACCCAACACUUACCUGUAGGUCGAGAUGCUUCGCUGCCAGCUGCUCAACGAGAGAAAGAAGGGUGUAGAGAGAGACCACCUAAUGUUGAGGAUAUGGAAGACGAUGAAUAUUAUUUUCUCUUGUGUGGAUCCCCGCUAGACUCUUCCUAGGCUGGAGCCACAAGAUUUCAGGGACUUCCACAUGCUGAAUGAGGCUUGGGAUGGCGUAACGCCUCUUGAGAACCUCGACUCGCACAUUGACACCACCCCAUCUAAGAAUCCCUAAUUUGCUUUCCUUUCGCCCCUUUUGGGCUAGUACUUUAGGACAAAUAGUUUUUAUAUUUUUCUUUUUGACGAUUUCUCUCUUUUAUAUCACAUGAAUGCUUAUCUUUUCUUUUUAGAAGCAUCCUAUUUUUAA